UACGUAGGGCGCAAGCGUUGUCCGGAAUUAUUGGGCGUAAAGAGCUCGUAGGUGGCUUGUCGCGUCUGCCGUGAAAGCCCAUGGCUUAACUGUGGGUCUGCGGUGGAUACGGGCUGGCUAGAGGUAGGUAGGGGCAAGCGGAAUUCCUGGUGUAGCGGUGAAAUGCGUAGAUAUCUGGAGGAACACCGGUGGCGAAGGCGGCAUCCUGGACCGGCAUUG
rnacentral:rRNA from 1 species